AGGCUUAAUACAUGCAAGUCGAGGGGUCAGCGGGGGUAGCAAUACCUGCCGGCGACCGGCAAACGGGUGAGGAACAUGUACGCAACCUUCCUUUAACUGGAGGAUAGCCCCUCGAAAGAGGGAUUAAUACUCCGUAACAUAAUGAGAUGGCAUCAUUUUAUUAUUAUAGUUCCGGCGGUUAAAGAUGGGCGUGCAACUGAUUAGAUAGUUGGCGGGGUAACGGCCCACCAAGUCAGCGAUCAGUAACAGGUGUGAGAGCACGACCAGUCACACGGGCACUGAGACACGGGCCCGACUCCUACGGGAGGCAGCAGUAAGGAAUAUUGGUCAAUGGACGCAAGUCUGAACCAGCCAUGCCGCGUGGAGGAUUAAGGCCCUCUGGGUUGUAAACUCCUUUUAUCUGGGAAGAAAUGUUUCGAUUCUUCGAAGCUUGACGGUACCAGAGGAAUAAGCACCGGCUAACUCCGUGCCAGCAGCCGCGGUAAUACGGAGGGUGCAAGCGUUAUCCGGAUUCACUGGGUUUAAAGGGUGCGUAGGCGGGUAGAUAAGUCAGUGGUGAAAUCUCCGAGCUUAACUCGGAAACUGCCAUUGAUACUAUUUAUCUUGAAUAUUGUGGAGGUAAGCGGAAUAUGUCAUGUAGCGGUGAAAUGCU
rnacentral:rRNA from 1 species